rnacentral:rRNA from 1 species
GACGAACGCUGGCGGCGUGCCUAAUACAUGCAAGUUGAGCGAUGAAGAUUGGUGCUUGCACCAAUUUGAAGAGCAGCGAACGGGUGAGUAACGCGUGGGGAAUCUGCCUUUGAGCGGGGGACAACAUUUGGAAACGAAUGCUAAUACCGCAUAAUAACUUUAAACAUAAGUUUUAAGUUUGAAAGAUGCAAUUGCAUCACUCAAAGAUGAUCCCGCGUUGUAUUAGCUAGUUGGUGAGGUAAAGGCUCACAAAGGCGAUGAUACAUAGCCGACCUGAGAGGGUGAUCGGCCACAUUGGGACUGGGACACGGCCCAAACUCCUACGGGAGGCAGCAGUAGGGAAUCUUCGGCAAUGGACGAAAGUCUGACCGAGCAACGCCGCGUGAGUGAAGAAGGUUUUCGGAUCGUAAAACUCUGUUGGUAGAGAAGAACGUUGGUGAGAGUGGAAAGCUCAUCAAGUGACGGUAACUACCCAGAAAGGGACGGCUAACUACGUG